AGUGAACGCUGGCGGUAGGCCUAACACAUGCAAGUCGAACGGCAGCACAGUAAGAGCUUGCUCUUACGGGUGGCGAGUGGCGGACGGGUGAGGAAUACAUCGGAAUCUACUUUUUCGUGGGGGAUAACGUAGGGAAACUUACGCUAAUACCGCAUACGACCUACGGGUGAAAGCAGGGGAUCUUCGGACCUUGCGCGAUUGAAUGAGCCGAUGUCGGAUUAGCUAGUUGGCGGGGUAAAGGCCCACCAAGGCGACGAUCCGUAGCUGGUCUGAGAGGAUGAUCAGCCACACUGGAACUGAGACACGGUCCAGACUCCUACGGGAGGCAGCAGUGGGGAAUAUUGGACAAUGGGCGCAAGCCUGAUCCAGCCAUACCGAGUGGGUGAAGAAGGCCUUCGGGUUGUAAAGCCCUUUUGUUGGGAAAGAAAAGCAGCAGGUUAAUACCCCGCUGUUCUGGCGGUACCCAAAGAAUAAGCACCGGCUAACUUCGUG
rnacentral:rRNA from 1 species